rnacentral:rRNA from 1 species
GACGAACGCUGGCGGCGUGCUUAACACAUGCAAGUCGAACGGAAAGGCCUGCUUUCCCUUGUGGAUUGCGGGUACUCGAGUGGCGAACGGGUGAGUAACACGUGAGUGAUCUGCCCCCAACUUGGGUAUAAGCCUGGGAAACUGGGUCUAAUUCCCGAUAGGACUGCAGGGUGGUGCCUGUGGUGGAAAACGAUUUUCUAGUGGUUGGGGGUGAGCUGGCGGCUUAUCAGCUUGUUGGUGGGGUAAUGGACUACCAAGGCGGCGACGGGUAGCCGGCCUGGGAUGGUGGACGGCCACAUUGGGACUGAGAUACGGCCCAGACUCCUACGGGCGGCAGCAGUGGGGAAUAUGGCGCCAUGGGCGGAAGGCUGCUGCAGCGACGCCGCGUGGGAGAUGACGGCCUUCGGGUUGUAAACUCCUUUCGACCGCGAGGAAGCCACCUGGUUGGAAGGGUGGUGACGGUAGUGGUAGAAGAAGCACCGGCUAACUACGUG